rnacentral:rRNA from 1 species
UGGGGAAUAUUGCACAAUGGAGGGAACUCUGAUGCAGCGACGCCGCGUGAGUGAUGAAGGAAUUCGUUUCGUAAAACUCUGUUCUAUGGGAAGAAAAGGACUGUACCAUAGGAGAAAGCUCCGGCUAAAUACGUGCCAGCAGCCGCGGUAAUACGUAUGGAGCGAGCGUUGUCCGGAAUUAUUGGGCGUAAAGGGUGCGCAGGCGGCUUUACAAGUUGGAUGUGAAAUAUUGUGGCUCAACCACAAACGUGCAUCCAAAACUGCAAAGCUUGAGUUAAGGAGAGGUAAGUGGAAUUCCUGGUGUAGCGGUGGAAUGCGUAGAUAUCAGGAGGAAUACCGGUGGCGAAGGCGACUUACUGGACUUACACUGACGCUCAGGCACGAAAGCGUGGGGAGCAAACAGG